rnacentral:lncRNA from 1 species
UCAACCAAGUGAUUUUUGUGUUAAGUAACUUAGAUGUACAUGUGUCUUAAGCGGGAGUAAUAAAAAGAAAAACAAAGGUUGCAUUGUAUGUAUGUAAUUAUGUAUCACAGUUAAAAACACCAAAGAGGUUCGUCUUCUCCUAAGCGAGAGCCUUCUACUUCUUCAUCUUCUUCUUCUUCUCCAUCUCCAUCUUCUUCUUUAGAGCAACCCUCUUAGGACCUAAUGGAGAGUAUAACAAGGAAACUAAUGAGAGAGGUUUUAAUUUGUUAGCAAGAAUCAAGUAUAGCAAGAGCAAAUUUAUGAACCUGGGGUCAUAAGACAUAAAGUCAGUAAUAUUGGUGCGGCCUCCUGGGAGCAUAUAGCGAGUAGUAUUGGUGGAGCGUCUUCUUUUGACCAGCAAAACAGGUCUAACUACAAGUGUCAUUCCUCCCAGUUAGUUCUAGC